UCAUAUAGAGGCAAAAUUCUAAUGUUUUAAAUUUAGUCAGCGUUACAUAUAUUCGUAUCGAAAACGUCUCAAUAGGUUAUUUUGUCAAACAGAAAAAAGCCAAUAUGAUCUUUGGUCUUGCGCUGUAAUUGAUAACUUUGUCAGUCAGGCUUAUUUCUAACGAUGAACCCGAAGGUGAGCGCAAAGAUAUAGGGAAAGGAUCUCGGACUGCAGAAGUUUAAUAAAAGGUUGUGGACCUUGAAAUAGAUCUUGGCAAAUCUUGGGACAUUAAAAAAAGCACAAAUUCUGAACACUACUAAAUAAUAAAGUCACAGUUUAAAUAAAAAAAAAUGCUGGCUUCAAAUUGCACUGAAAAUUUUAGUUAUCUGUUCGAAGACUUUAUAAGGAGAUUUCCAACUGAAGUUGUAAUUACUCAUUUUGACAGCAAGCCGCUGUUGACAGUUGACUAGGAUCAUUGAGAAAUGGAUCCGGAAGAUUAAUCAGAAAUCGCCAGACUAUCAAUCAUCCCGUCCCUCAAACGCAGAUCUUGUUUUUACGCUCAAAAUUGCAAACACAUUUUGAUUAAUUCCGAAACUAUAAGUAUACAUAUAUACUGCACGCAGUUUUUACUAUAAAUUCAUUGCUUAUAUUACCCACAACGGACCUAUUGAGAGUCUAAACUGCUCAGUUUCCGCACUGUUCCGCACACAAAAAAUUGCAAAAAAUCUUUACUUUGACUUACAGUGACACUUACAAAACAAUGUAUUUAGAAAAUACUUCUUACAGGUGAAAGACGUCGUUAGAAUUAAGGUAUACUUAAAACUCUAACGACCAGUGAUUAUGGAGCUUGAAGCUAGAUUACCCAGUGUCUUGAUCCCUAUUCAUGUCAUUGAAUAGCUUUAGCAAUGAACUAAUCAAUACCUUAUUAUUUUGAUAAACGCCCGUGUUCUACAAAUUAGAAUAGUUACCGACUUAAAAACCUCAAACCCUAAAAAGGUUCCCAAUCCGACGUCACAUAAAUAAAUGUAUCGUACAUGUAAAUUUUUAUAUACACUACAUAUUCUUUGAAAAAUUAUAUUCACGUAAAUAAUCUAAAUGGAUCUGAAUGGUUCCCUAAACCCUUUGAAGUUGACAUAAUGUUUUGUCGUAUAAAAACCUUUCAUAUAGAUAAUAAAAAUGUAUUCCAAUUAAAGAUGAAAAUAAAUUAUUACUCAUCAUUUCUUGGUUCACUAUUCAAUCUAUGAUACUGGAUGUUUCGAACAUGAUUUCAAGAGUAUGAAGCACAAGUACCUAUUGUUAAAAGCAUAUUUCCCUUAAUUACACAAAACUGCAUUUAACAUGGUUUUUUUAAAUAUCCGCUUUCGGUCCGGAAAUAAUUAAAAAAAACCUCUUGCUUAAAGGCAGUAAUCGAUAUGUAAUUAUUUAAGAUACAUAUUUAACUACUA